AGAUGUGAGGGCGAUCUGGCUGCACCUGUCACGCCAUUGAUCGCCAGGGUUGAUUGGGCUGAUGUGGCCGGCUAGGCUGGUGUCCCCUUCCUCCCUCACCGCUCCACGUGCGUCCCUCCUGAAGAUGCGGGCUCGGUCGAAGAGGACGACCAUCCCCAAUAGAGGAGGGCCGUUCGGUCAAGGGUAUACGAGCAGCUGCGCUCCCCUGCCAGAACCUCCAAACAAGCUCUCAAGAAGUGGGGUCUCGUGGGAGAUUUCAGAUCACGUGGCUGUGCCCUUGAUGGGGACUGUGGAAUGCCAGUCUCUGU
rnacentral:snRNA from 1 species